UACUAACUCACGUGAUCGCA
rnacentral:siRNA from 1 species